rnacentral:rRNA from 1 species
UACGUAGGCAGCGAGCGUUGUUCGGAGUUACUGGGCGUAAAGGGUGUGUAGGCGGUUGUUUAAGUUUGGUGUGAAAUCUCCCGGCUCAACUGGGAGGGUGCGCCGAAUACUGAGCGACUAGAGUGCGGGAGAGGAAAGUGGAAUUCCUGGUGUAGCGGUGAAAUGCGUAGAUAUCAGGAGGAACACCAGCAGCGAAGGCGGCGCUCUGGGCUGGAACUGACGCUGAGGAGCGAAAGCGUGGGUAGCAAACAGG